CCCUACGGGAGGCAGCAGUGAGAAAUAUUGGUCAAUGGCCGAGAGGCUGAACCAGCCAAGUCGCGUGAGGGAUGACGGCCCUACGGGUUGUAAACCUCUUUUGUCGGGGAGCAAGACCCGCCUCGUGCAGGCGGAGCGAGAGUACCCGAAGAAAAAGCAUCGGCUAACUCCGUGCCAGCAGCCGCGGUGAUACGGAGGAUGCGAGCGUUAUCCGGAUUUACUGGGUGUAAAGGGAGCGUAGACGGUUAUGCAAGUCUGAAGUGAAAGCCCAAGGCUCAACCAUGGGACUGCUUUGGAAACUGUAA
rnacentral:rRNA from 1 species